UAGGGAAUCUUCCACAAUGGACGAAAGUCUGAUGGAGCAACGCCGCGUGAGUGAAGAAGGUUUUUCGGAUCGUAAAGCUCUGUUGUUGGUGAAGAAGGAUAGAGGCAGUAACUGGUCUUUAUUUGACGGUAAUCAACCAGAAAGCCACGGCUAACUACGUGCCAGCAGCCGCGGUAAUACGUAGGUGGCAAGCGUUGUCCGGAUUUAUUGGGCGUAAAGCGAGCGCAGGCGGAAUGAUAAGUCUGAUGUGAAAGCCCACGGCUCAACCGUGGAACUGCAUCGGAAACUGUCAUUCUUGAGUGCAGAAGAGGAGAGUGGAACUCCAUGUGUAGCGGUGAAAUGCGUAGAGAUCUGGAGGAAUUACCGGU
rnacentral:rRNA from 1 species